AUUGCUAUCCAUAAUUCUAGGCUAAGUAAUUUAAAUUAAACUUUUUUAGGGUUAUGUAUACGUUUCUACAAUAAAAUACCAGACAGUAUUUUCAAUUUGUCAAAAAUAUAUUUAAAGGUCACGUGAAGCCUACUUUAUGUAAAAAAAGCUUAUUAUAAGAUUAAUGAUUACCUAAAUGAUAAAAAUGCCUGAUAUUAAAUGUGUUACUCUAGUAACUUGUAAUCUAUACCUACAUUGAUUUAAAAGGUGUGUUUUUGUUGCAGUUUCUUGUCAUUUCUUCUCCUCAGCCAUAACACCUUGCGAAAUUAUGACGUAGAUUCAAAAAUGUUAAAUUGACCUUCAACAAGUUUAUCUAUGAUAAUUACGUUGAAUAAAUGAUUCUGAUUCUGAAAAAAAAAAAAAAAAAAAAAA
rnacentral:lncRNA from 1 species